ensembl:snRNA RNU6-1045P RNA, U6 small nuclear 1045, pseudogene
GUGCUUGGUUAAGCAACACAUAUACCUAAAAUUAGAAUGAUAUAGAGAAGAUGAGCAUGGCCCCUGAAAAAAGUGAUUUGGAAAAUAAACAUUAUCUACUUAUGUUA